AGAGUCCUUUAUAGCAGACACAAAGUCAAUCCAGAUGACAUGAAUACCUAUACUUGGAAGCUCUUCUCGGCCAUGAUGAAAACAGUACCGAGCGUAUGAGAAAAUUUUGCAGAACAACAAUUCUUUAUUGAACUAACAAUUUGUACCAGAUGCAAAAGGUUAUGAUAAAGAAAGCAUCAACAGCACCAGGAUGCCUUAAGAGGCUCUACAAUUGAUAUGGAAA
rnacentral:misc_RNA from 1 species